GACGUAGGGGGCGAGCGUUAAUCGGAAUUACUGGGCGUAAAGGGCGCGUAGGCGGUUUGAUGGGUGUGAUGUGAAAGCCCUGGGCUUAACCUAGGAAGCGCAUCGCAAACUAUGGAACUGGAGUAGAUGAGAGGGUGGCGGAAUUUCCGGUGUAGCGGUGAAAUGCGUAGAUAUCAGGAGGAACACCGGUGGCGAAGGCGGCUCUCUGGACGGUGACUGACGCUAAGACGCGAAAGCGUGGGGAGCAAACAGG
rnacentral:rRNA from 1 species